rnacentral:tRNA from 1 species
UCAGUAGCUAAGUGGACAAUGCGGUGGCGUUUGGAGCGAACGGUACUGGGUUCGAGUCCCAGAGUGA